UUUAGAUUGAUCGACAUGAAAGAUGUUGUAUCCUGGACGAUGAUAAUAGAGGACUAAUUGUGAAAUCUCUGUUUGUGGAUGAUGUUCGGAAGCUGUUCAAUGAAAUGCCCGUGAGAAAUGUGGUUUCUUGGAUGAGUUUGAUAGCCGGCUAUGCUAAAGAUGGAAGGUUGUAAUUAUGGUCCACCUUAUGAAUGGCAAGUAUACAACACUCUUGGUGUAUUCAUGGGGUACCAAAAGUCCAUUACAAGGGUCGGCAAGGGGAUUAUUAUGUCAUGUUACUUGGAGAAUUUUUAGCUCCUCUGCCUUUAGAGUUUGUAACAUAAUAUGAGAUGUUUUCUAAUAUUAAAGGAAAACUACAGAUUAUGCAUAUGCUGGGACCAAGCCUGUCGGAUGUAUGGAAUAGCAACUCAUACACAAUGUCUGUGGAAAUGGUCGCAUGUAUUGCAAUCGAAGCAAUCUCCAUAUUGGAGAAGAUGCAUUCAAAAGGGUAGAAGUUUACUGUUUUCUUUGCAUCUGAGUUUGUUCUUUUAUGUGUUAAGAAAU